rnacentral:rRNA from 1 species
AUUAGAUACAAACAAAAUUUAUUAUUUAUAGUUAAAAUGUAAAAAUUUAAUUUAUAGUUAAAUUUAUUAGGUUAAAUUUUAAAUUUAAAAAAUUAUUAAUAAUAAAAAUUUUUGAAGCUUUGAAAUUUUAUUAUUAAACUAGGAUUAGAUACCCUAUUAUAAAAAAUGUAAUUAAAGAAAAAUAGAGUAGUAAUAGUUAUAUUCUUAAAACUUAAUAAAUUUGGCGGUAUUUUAAUCUAAUCAGAGGAACUUGUUUUAUAAUUGAUAAUCCUCACUAAAUCUUACUUAAUCUAUUAAUUUGUAUACCAUCGUCAUAAGAAUCUCUUAAAAAAGUAAAAAUUUUCAGGAUAACUUAUUAGUUAAUAUGUCAGAUCAAGGUGCAGUUUAUGUUUAAGAAAAAAUGAGUUACAAUAAAUUUAUUUACACGGAAUAUUAAUUUAAAUAUUAGUAUAAAGGUGGAUUUGAUAGUAAAAUAAAAAAUUAAAUUUAUUUGAUUUUAGUUCUAAAAUAUGCACAUAUCGCCCGUCGCUCUCGUUAUUUAAAAUGAG